rnacentral:rRNA from 1 species
GACGCAGCGACGCCGCGUGGGGGAUGAAGCAUUUCGGUGUGUAAACCCCUGUUGCCCGGGACGAACAACUGGUUUCGACCAGUCUGACGGUACCGGGUGAGGAAGCACCGGCUAACUCCGUGCCAGCAGCCGCGGUAAUACGGAGGGUGCGAGCGUUGUCCGGAAUCACUGGGCGUAAAGGGCGCGUAGGCGGUCUGCUAAGCGUGCGGUGAAAGCCUGGGGCUCAACCCCAGGUCUGCCGUGCGAACUGGUGGACUCGAGCACUGUAGAGGCAGGUGGAAUUCCGGGUGUAGCGGUGGAAUGCGUAGAGAUCCGGAAGAACACCGGUGGCGAAGGCGGCCUGCUGGGCAGUUGCUGACGCUGAUGCGCGACAGCGUGGGGAGCAAACAGGAUUAGACACCCUGGUAGUCCACGCCGUAAACGAUGGGCACUAGGUGCUUGGGGGAGCGACCCCCCGAGUGCCGGCGCUAACGCAUUAAGUGCCCCGCCUGGGGAGUACGACCGCAAGGUUG